UACGGAGGGUGCAAGCGUUAUCCGGAUUCACUGGGUUUAAAGGGUGCGUAGGCGGGUAAUUAAGUCAGUGGUGAAAUCUUCAAGCUUAACUUGGAAACUGCCAUUGAUACUAAUUAUCUUGAAUGUUCUGGAGGUCAGCGGAAUAUGUCAUGUAGCGGUGAAAUGCUUAGAUAUGACAUAGAACACCUAUUGCGAAGGCAGCUGACUACGGAAAUAUUGACGCUGAGGCACGAAAGCGUGGGGAUCAAACAGG
rnacentral:rRNA from 1 species